CCUUCGAAUUAAAUUAAGAAAAUGUUCAGCGUCUGCAAGUGGUCCAUUCCACUUUAAAUGGAAAUUCUCAGCCAGCGUUUGCUCUUGCUGCUGCUCGUAGAAGAUAAUGGAAUCCCCACCUAUGGAUAUGUGAGUAUUUGUGAAUAAAGUAUCAACCUCGAUCUAUGAUGAUCGAUGGGACCACUGCCCCCAAUGGUACGCCAGCAACGAUUCUUCUGAUACUUCGGACCCGCAGCCACCGCCUCGACUAAUAAGAACAAUUUGCAAAGGCCGAGCCGGUGUACACAACCGUGACGACUGAUGAUCUGGCCAUAAUCGUAUGGGACAAUGUGACAAGUAAGCAAGAAAAGCUAUGCGCCUAAUUCGAACUAAAGUAAGUAAAAUAUAAAAAUAAAUAAAAUUGCGAGCACGCUGAUUAUGUUAUUUAUUGUUCUAUUAAUCUGUUAAUUUGGAUUUCUAAAAUUGAUUUGUAAUUCUGUUAAUCUAGAUCGAUGUCAAUCAAUUGCAUUUGUGGAUGAUCAAUGGCCAUAUGGGCGAUUGAGUUUCGGUGUUAAAGACCCCAUUCGAAGCGAUUUCGAUUUAAUCUUGGAUUGGAUUUAGUUUUCUAACUUUCCUUGAUGAAAUCCAAUAUUAUUUAAUCAGCCAAAAUAUCUUCAACGGCUCAGGUAUUCUUUCAGUUGGCCUAUGU
rnacentral:sRNA from 1 species